CCUACGGGAGGCAGCAGUGAGGAAUAUUGGUCAAUGGCCGGAAGGCUGAACCAGCCAUGCCGCGUGAAGGUCAGUGCCCUAUGGGCGUUAAACUUCUUUUGUGCGGGAGCAAUAAUGGUCACGUGUGCCCAGACGAGAGUACUGUACGAAUAAGCAUCGGCUAACUCCGUGCCAGCAGCCGCGGUAAUACGGGGGAUGCAAGCGUUAUCCGGAUUUAUUGGGUUUAAAGGGUGCGUAGGCUGUGAGGUAAGUCAGCGGGGAAAUGCCCCCGCUCAACGGGGUGAAGUGCCAUUGAUACUGCCUUGCUGGAAUGCGGAUGCCGUGGGAGGAAUGUGUGGUGUAGCGGUGAAAUGCAUAGAUAUCACACAGAACACCGAUUGCGAAGGCAUCUCACGAAUCCGCGAUUGACGCUGAUGCACGAAAGCGUGGGUAUCAAACAGGAUUAGAUACCCCAGUAGUC
rnacentral:rRNA from 1 species